GAUGGUAGAUCGGAUAGGUAAUUUGAGAGAAAACUUUGUUUGAAGAGGAAAAGGACGUACAUGUAUAUUAAAAAAGCAUGCAUGUAGUACCAUGUAGUAGCUAGAUUUCUCCAUGUUUAGGCGUCGCUAGAUAAGGCAAAAUUGAGAGGCCUCUCUAAAUAGAUUUUAUAUAAAAAAAACACUAAGCUGAAAUUAAGUGCGCUGAGCCGCUGAGUGAUGGACUAGUGAGGAGACUGCAGCCUCUCAUCGCAGUCGCGGAGUCCACGCUCUUAUCCCGAAAUGAGUCCGAAGAAGCUGGCUGUCAUCUACCCGCCGCCGGGGAUGAUCGGCCACCUGGUCUCCACGGUGGAGCUCGGCAAGCUGCUCGUGCCGCACGGCAUCGAUGUCACCAUCGUCCUCGGCGGCCAGGACGACGGGGGCGCCGCUGCUACCGCGUCUUUCCUAGCGGACGCCGCCGCCACCAACCCAGAGCUCUCCUUCCACCGCCUCCCGCAACCCACGCUCCCCUGCAACGUGCCCGCUGAUGAUUACGUGUCUCGCUCGGGUCUUCGAGUUUGCACGGGCUUCCGGCCCCGAUCUAUGUGACUUCCUCCGGUCCACCUCCCCGGCCGUCCUCAUCAUCGACUUCUUCUGCUACAGCGCCCUCGACGUUGGCGCCGAGCUCCGCAUCCCGACGUACUUCUUCCUCACCACUUGCAUCGCUAGCCUCGCUUUUCUGCUGUACCUUCCAGUCAUCCAAGAGGAGAAUACCAUGAGCUUCAGAGAUCUCAGUGGUGACCUCGUGCACGCGCCGGGUAUCCCACCGAUACCGGCAGAUCACCUCCCCAUGUCUCAGUUAGACCGCGACAGCGUGAGCAGCAGGCACUUCCUCGCCUUGUCCGAACAGGUGUGCAACUCGCACGGUGUUAUGGUAAAUAGCUGCCACUCCCUCGAGCGGCGCGCGGCCGACGCCAUCGUCGCCGGUCUCUGCACGUUCCCAGGGCGUCGAACGCCGCCGCUGCACUGCAUAGGGCCACUGAUAAAGCCGCGGGAGGAGGACAGUACAGAGCGCCACGAGUGCCUCGCCUGGCUUGACGCGCAGCCCAAGGCCAGCGUGUUGUUCCUCUGUUUCGGCAGCUUGGGCGUGUUCAGCGUGGAGCAGAUCAAGCAGGUGGCCGUCGGCCUAGAGACGAGCGGCCACCGGUUCCUGUGGGUGGUGCGUCCCCCGCCUGGCUUGGAGCACGUAACCGGGCCUGACCUCGACGCGCUCAUCUUCCCGGAAGGCUUCCUACGCCGGACCAAGGGAAGGGGGCUCGUGGUCAUAUCGUGUUCACCGCAACGCGAGGUGCUGGAGCACGGUGCGGUGGGCGGGUUCGUGUCACACUGUGGAUGGAACUCGGUGUUGGAGGCGGUCACAGCGGGGGUGCCCAUGCUGGCAUGGCCGUUGUACGCGGAGCAGAGGAUGAACAAGGUGUUCUUGGUGGAAGAGAUGCGUUUGGCCGUGGGGGUGGAAGGCUAUGACAAAGGAAUCGUUACGGCGGAGGAGAUUCAGGAGAAGGCGAGGUGGCUCAUGGAUUCUGACGGUGGAAGAGAGCUCCGGGAGCGGACUUUGGCGGCCAUGCGAGAGGUGAAAGAGGCGCCAAGUGACAAAGGUGAGUCCAAAAUGACGUUGUUAGAACUCGUAAGCCAGUGGAAAAGUGACUGAAAGGAGACGGAUAGGGAGAUGAACAGUAAUGUUAACGGGCUAGCCUUCUGCACCGUUUGGUCCAAAAUAAACAUACCAGGUCAUACUAUAGUAUAUUUCCGCCAGAGUAGUAAAAAUCCUUGUAGAAUAUUUAAGUUGGAGUGAAUUGCAUGCUGGAUCAUUUAUUUUUAUCAAUGUUGUAGCUUAGACUAGAGGUAACACAAUAUUUUCAACAUUUAACCGGGUAAGCUUGCAAAAGGUUUCUGCUUACACGGGUGGAGAA